rnacentral:misc_RNA from 1 species
GAUGAAGAACGAGCGAAAUGCGAUACGUAAUGUGAAUUGCAGAAUUCAGUGAAUCAUCGAGUCUUUGAACGCACAUUGCGCCCCCUGGUAUUCCGGGGGGCAUGCCUGUCCGAGCGUCAUUGCUGCCCUCAAGCACGGCUUGUGUGUUGGGCCUCCGUCCUCCUCCCGGGGGACGGGCCCGAAAGGCAGCGGCGGCACCGCGUCCGGUCCUCGAGCGUAUGGGGCUUCGUCACCCGCUCUUGUAGGCCCGGCCGGCGCUUGCCGACACAUCAAUCUUUUUUCCAGGUUGACCUCGGAUCAGGUAGGGAUACCCGCUGAACUUAAGCAUAUCAAUAAGCGGAGGA